ACGGGUGAGUAAUGCAUCGGGACCUACCUAGACGUGGGGGAUAACGUAGGGAAACUUACGCUAAUACCGCAUACGUCCUACGGGAGAAAGCAGGGGACCUUCGGGCCUUGCGCGGUUAGACGGACCGAUGUUCGAUUAGCUUGUUGGUGAGGUAAUGGCUCACCAAGGCGACGAUCGAUAGCUGGUCUGAGAGGAUGAUCAGCCACACUGGAACUGAGACACGGUCCAGACUCCUACGGGAGGCAGCAGUGGGGAAUAUUGGACAAUGGGCGCAAGCCUGAUCCAGCAAUGCCGCGUGUGUGAAGAAGGCCUUCGGGUUGUAAAGCACUUUUAUCAGGAGCGAAAUACUACCGGCUAAUACCCGGUGGGGCUGACGGUACCUGAGGAAUAAGCACCGGCUAACUUCGUGCCAGCAGCCGCGGUAAUACGAAGGGUGCAAGCGUUAAUCGGAAUUACUGGGCGUAAAGCGUGCGUAGGCGGUUUCUUAAGUCUGCUGUGAAAUCCCCGGGCUCAACCUGGGAAUGGCAGUGGAUACUGGGAGGCUAGAGUGUGUCAGAGGAUGGUGGAAUUCCCGGUGUA
rnacentral:rRNA from 1 species